rnacentral:lncRNA from 1 species
CCUCUGCAGUGGCUGGGGUCCUAGACCAGGGUGGCCUGGGGACAACUUCCUGGGGACAGGCCUGGAAGGGGUGCAGGAGGAGGAGRCGCAGGCACUUCCUGUAGUCGUGCUGGUGUCCAGUCUCUUUGGCCAGCAAGACUCCUAUCCCGUGGUGCCCUGGGAAGUUGAAACAGGGAGAAGAAGAGCUGUGCCCUGCAAUCCUGCCACUCCUGUGCUAUCUUCUGUCCAUCAGCCUUUCCCGAGAAGACAGAGAGCCUGGGUCAGGAACCUCUGGGAUAGACAUGUGCUUAGAAGAGAAGAAAAGGAAGCCUGACUACAAACUGGCUGCAGAUGAGCCCACAGCUGCCCUUGGAGGCCUUUGGAAGGAAGUCCUAUGUUCCCUGUACCCAACAGGCCUCUCUGCACCAAAAUGCAAAGAAAAAGAACAAGGAGAAGAAAAAGUAAGGCAUUGAUCACAAGCAGACAGAUUGGUAACUAGAUUGAUUUGCACUUUCAGAGCCUAAGGGCAAGGGUCAUCGUCCUGCAAGAUGAUUAUUUCCCAAGAGACGGUUUGAGGACGACAGAAUGAAAGGCCUGUCAGGCGGCAGCCCUUUAAAAUAACCUGGAUUCCCCCAGAUUAGAAUCGAAUCUGCAGACUGUUCUUUGUGCUGGUCAGGACUGGAUACAUUGCACUUCUCUAAGCUCUAAUAAAGCUGUAAUAAAUCACA